GGCGGCAUGCCUAACACAUGCAAGUCGAACGUGAUCCGGGGCUUGCUCCGGUGAAAGUGGCGGACGGGUGAGUAACGCGUGGGAACCUGCCCAUUGGUCGGGGAUAACUGCGGGAAACUGCAGCUAAUACCCGGUAAGCCCUACGGGGGAAAGAUUUAUCGCCAUUGGAGAGGCCCGCGUCGGAUUAGGUAGUUGGUGGGGUAAAGGCCUACCAAGCCUUCGAUCCGUAGCUGGUCUGAGAGGAUGAUCAGCCACACUGGGAUUGAGAUACGGCCCAGACUCCUACGGGAGGCAGCAGUGGGGAAUAUUGGACAAUGGGCGCAAGCCUGAUCCAGCAAUGCCGCGUGAGUGAAGAAGGCCUUAGGGUUGUAAAGCUCUUUCGGCGGGGACGAUNAUNACGGUACCCGCAGAAGAAGCCCCGGCUAACUCCGUGCCAGCAGCCGCGGUAAUACGGAGGGGGCUAGCGUUGUUCGGAAUUACUGGGCGUAAAGGGCGCGUA
rnacentral:rRNA from 1 species